CCUACGGGGGGCAGCAGUGGGGAAUAUUGCACAAUGGGCGCGAGCCUGAUGCAGCCAUGCCGCGUGUGUGAAGAAGGCCUUCGGGUUGUAAAGCACUUUCAGCGGGGAGGAAGGCGGUGAGGUUAAUAACCUCAUCGAUUGACGUUACCCGCAGAAGAAGCACCGGCUAACUCCGUGCCAGCAGCCGCGGUAAUACGGAGGGUGCAAGCGUUAAUCGGAAUUACUGGGCGUAAAGCGCACGCAGGCGGUCUGUCAAGUCGGAUGUGAAAUCCCCGGGCUCAACCUGGGAACUGCAUUCGAAACUGGCAGGCUAGAGUCUUGUAGAGGGGGGUAGAAUUCCAGGUGUAGCGGUGAAAUGCGUAGAGAUCUGGAGGAAUACCGGUGGCGAAGGCGGCCCCCUGGACAAAGACUGACGCUCAGGUGCGAAAGCCUGGGGAGCAAACAGGAUUAGAUACCCCAGUAGUC
rnacentral:rRNA from 1 species